ensembl:lncRNA
CUAGCACACUGAAAGCAGCACAGGUCCACUGAUUCUCAUGAAGGAGCAACUUCACUGAGUAUGAAUGUUAAUGAAAGACCACAUUCCUCUCUUCCUCCAAAGACUGAGUCCUUUAUUCAGAGGGACAUAAUGAUGGAGAUAAUGGCUGGGUCAUCGAUACCACCCUCUCUUCUUUCUAAAGGAAAUGGAAGUUACUUUCCUGUGUCCUGGUGAAUGCAGUUUUGACAACACAUCAGUUAAAAAAACAAUUGGAUGGGAUGAAAAAAGGACCGAACACACAUCACGUUUCUGGGCUCCUCCUCUGCAGGAUGAUGAUUCUGGGCCUGGAGACAUUCACAACCAUACGCACUCCUGCCGUUGAUGCCUUCUGAACACACUCCUAUCCAUUCCAACUCUCCUCUUCAAAUCUUUAGGUACACGGUUUUGUAAGGACACAACUGAGAAUGUUUUGUUUAAAUUAAGAGAAUUGUGACUGGGAAGGACUUUGCCAACCUAACCCUGAAAUCUAAUCCUGCUACCUUCUCUGGUGAGCAUUGGAAGCUCAGGCUGAGUCGAGCUGCUCUGUUGGAAGCUAUGCGUUAUUGCCAUGAGAGCCACAGCGGCACACCCCACUCGGCCUCCUGGGGCUUCAGCACGAAAUGCUCUGCAGUCACAUCCACACAAAUGGCUCUGCAUGCAUGUGCAGCCUCAGCUCUUCAGGCUGUGGCUGGAUCCUGUUCUAGUUUGGUGCUUUUUACAAUGCCAGCAGCCAGAGUGAACUCUUCCUUUCAUCCCAUCUGCUUCCUCUGGACACUUCCCAUCCCUGCUAAAAACAUUCUGCAAAUUUCAGUGGUGCUGUAGCUCUACAGCAGGAAACAGCUGGUAUUGGUGUCCUGCAAGCAAGGACAGAGCACAAGAUGGAACUCUGAUCCCAGCACUGCAACUCUUAUGAAUGAGCACAUUCUGUGUCAUCAGGUUAUUACACAGUGAACUCUACCUAAAAACAGUAGCAUGGCCAUCAGGGGAGGCAGAGUCCUGCCAUGAAACAAUGCUGACCUCUGGCAAGUGGGAUGAAUUGUAUGGUAAGAAGAGAAAAAAAAGAUCUAUUUUCUAGCCAAAGCACUCUGUCACAAAUGUAGAUGGUUGGCAAUGUGCAUGGUUGGCAAACCAUUUCAUCAGUGUGCUCUGCACACAAUGAGCUCAUAAUUUGUGAUACAGUGGGAAGCAAUCAUUUCAAACAGGCUGAGAGAGCUGGGGCUCUUCAGCCUGAAGAAGAGAAGGCUUCAAGGGGACCUUACAGUGACCUUCCAGUACCUGAAGGAGGCCUAUGGGAAAGCUGGGGAGGGACUUUUUAGAAGGGCACAUAGUGACAGGAUGAGGGAAAAUGGUUUUAAACUGGAAGAGGGUAAGUUUAGACUAGCUACUGGAAAGAAAUUCUUUACUAUGAAGGUGGUGAGACACUGGAACAGGUUUCCUGGGAAGGGUGUGAAUGUCCCCUCCCUGGAAGCAUUCAAGGCCAGACUGGAUGGGACUUUGAGCAUCCUGGCCUAGUGGGAGGUGUCCCUGCCUAUAGCAGGGGAUUGGAACCAGAUCAUCUUAAAGGUCCCUUCCAACUCAAACCAUUCUAUGAUUCUAUGAUAAUUUUAGGAGAAAUAAGGAGGACACUUUCAGAUACAGCUGAUAGCCUUCACUUUCAGAUAGACUUCACCAGGAUGGCAAAAGCAGCUCCAGCUUCCUCUUGAAUUUUACUUUUCCUGGAAAAAUAUCUUAUAUUGUUGGCCAGUCUUCCUGCCCCAUGAAAGGGGACCUGGUUGGGAAAAGUCAACGUCUCCCUUAUUCCUCUAAGGAUUAUUACUGGAGGAAGGAUAUGACAGGAAAACCCUGGGUUCUCAUAGAGCAAAUUCAUCAUAUCUAAAAUUGGUCCUGGGUGUUCCUUCACCAGGCCUCCUCCUGUUAAAUGAAAACUAAUGGAAGAAUGCUAAGAUGGGCAUCCUUCUUUUGAAUUGACAGCUGACGGAGAUUUAGAUUCUUAUCACCUUAGAAUCUCUAGGAUGGAGAAAAAUGCUAUUAGGAAAGUUGGAGAACUAAAGCUAUAUAUAUUUGGAGAUGAAAAAUAUGUUUGUAAUUAAGAGAUAAAUGAAUGUUGGAAGAACUGAUGAUGCUAGAAAUGGUAGUAGAGUUCUGGGAAUGGGAUACUGAACCAUCUGGGGGACCUGGGACCAGGGUGACCCUCUAGGGGACCAGGUGCUCUGGGGCUGAAAAUUGAUGGGAAGCUUGAAGAUAGAUCAACUUCAUAUAGUUAUUUUUAAAGUAGCGAGCUGAAAUAUACUCUUAUUUUUUGAAUAAAUCUUAUGAUUUUGCAUACCAGGGUUGCAAUUAUUGAUUCUUUGUAACUGUCAACACUGCAUGCAGUACAUAAACACAAAUGUGAUAUAGUUUUUUGUAUGUGAGGAAGGAAGAACAUUAAAACGUCUCCCAGAGCAUUUACAACACUUCUGAAUUAUUUUUUUCCACUCUCCCGGAAACUAAGUUUAUGAAGAAGAAUAGUCCAUCAAAAAACAUUUUCAGGAAAACUCCACCAAAAGCUUGAGCUGGUUAAGGGAUUUUCUGUUCUUG